UACGGAGGGUGCAAGCGUUAUUCGGAAUUACUGGGCGUAAAGCGCGUGCAGGCGGUUGGGUCAGUCCGAUGUGAAAGCCCCGGGCUUAACCUGGGAAGUGCAUUGGAUACUGGUCGACUUGAGUACUGGAGAGGAAGGGAGAAUUCCCGGUGUAGAGGUGAAAUUCGUAGAGAUCGGGAGGAACACCAGUGGCGAAGGCGCCCUUCUGGACAGCUACUGACGCUGAGACGCGAGAGCGUGGGGAGCAAACAGG
rnacentral:rRNA from 1 species